UGAGUGUUAGUUUUAAAUAGACUAUUGACAAAUUACAGAUUUUUUUCACAUAUUGAAAUUAUAUUCCAGAUGAUUUUGAGAUUUACUGGUAUAAUAUUCUCCUCAUGAGGUAGGAUGGAGGGUAAGGAAUAGAGAAAAAAGUGUUCUUCUCUGAAAUAAAUGUGGUGUUUCCUGACAGCAUUUGUCAAGAAGGAAAGGUUAAAAAAUAAAGCACUGAUGGAAACACACGAUAAAUAAAAGAUGGGGUUUCGCCAUGUAGCCCAGGCUGGUCUUGAACUCGUGAGCUCAAGCGAUUCACCUGCCUCAGCCUCCCAAAGUGCUGGGAUUACAAGUGUGAGCCACCAUUCCUGGCCUCUAUAUCUCUAAAGGUGUUGAAUAAUUUGAAUGGGAAUUUGAAGGUUCAUGGCUUCCAAACCAGCAGGAGUUAAGGCUUAAUUGCUUGGAAAUACAUUUUCAUGGCUGAUACCAGUAACAGAAAAAUGUCUGUAUGUCAAGAGACUCUGUACUAAUCAGUUAACCAUAACAUGUGCCACCCCAUACCUAGGGCCAAUGUAACUGUUAACAGCUUGAAGCUAUUAAAAAUGUACCAGUGGA